rnacentral:rRNA from 1 species
AUUGAACGCUGGCGGCAGGCCUAACACAUGCAAGUCGAACGAGUGGCGGACGGGUGAGUAAUGGCUUGGAAACUGCCUGAUGGACGGGGCAAACUACUGGAAACGGUAGCUAAUACCGCAUACCCUCAGAUGUGCACAGUUGGGAUUAUCUUGUUGGUGGGGUAACGGCUAUCAAAGGCGACGAUCCCUAGCUGGUCUGAGAGGAUGACCAGCCACACUGGAACUGAGACACGGUCCAGACUCCGACGGGAGGCAGCAGUGGGGAAUAUUGCACAAUGGGCGCAAGCCUGAUGCAGCCAAGCCGCGUGUGUGAAGAAGGCAGUCGGGUUGUAAAGUACGUUCAGCGGGGAGGCGUUACCCGCAGAAGAAGCACCGGCUAACUCCGUGCCAGCAGCCGCGGUAAUUC